GUAUGUGAAUUCACCUCAAAAACAUAAACACCUUGUUCGCGGUCAUACGUUAAUAUUUAAGUAUCGUAGGCGUAAACGUCAGAAUAAAACGGCAUUCGUGCUCGAGAAUCAGAACAGCGCACACGUUCCGAUUCUUCGUAAUUUCCGUCCCGAAAAUUCCGCAACUUUACGCAGGCAAAAACAAAGCUGAAGAGAGGAAAAACAGUUUAAAGAAGGUCGUAAGAUAGGAAUUAGCUGUUUUCCAAACAAAUCAUGAAAAACACAAUUUUUUUAGCGCGUAAUACUUUAUAAACUUCAUUUUCAGUCGUAAACUUAUUCCGCCUUUGUUUAUUGUACUACCCUGUAUAAUAAGAGGAAUUGUAUUGAAUGAAGAAAAGCUGCUACAGCACGAGGAAUUCAUUUUCAUCCCAGCGUUUGUAUGGCCGUUGCCCACUGUGCACUGACGACAAACUCAACUUUAAUGUUGAGGCACAUUCGAGAAAUUAAAACUCACCUUAACAAUUUCCUAAGAUAAAUCCUUCCACAAUUGAACAAGAAUCUCUCGAGCUCAUCCAUUCACAGCACAAGUUUUGAAUGGACAAUACCCGGCAGAAUGCGAUACCAGAAACAAUAUGGAAGAUAGAAAGAGAUGGAAUGACUCAGCUCAGAGGAAUUAACUAGUAAAUACAUGUGUAUGUGACGUACGAAGAUUUUAGACCCCGAUUCACCCAUUUUCCAUCCAUCAUUUUCACACACACGCACACAGCUCUACACGGGCGGCGUGUUGCUGUAAAAAAAUAGAGAAAGUUGACCAGUGAUGGGUUUCAUGACUCUUUCGAUGAGAUUC